CAACUUUCCUUUGCCAACCUCCUCCACCAUAAUGUUUUUGCCUUAGAGCCAGUUAACAAUGGACUGAAUUCUCUGAAACCAUAAACCAAAUUAAACCUCUCCUCCUUUAGGUUGUGUCAGUUAUGUUGUUCUACCAGCAAAAAAGCUUACCCAUACAAGAUUUAUUAUAUCAAACCAGAAGUCUUGCAACAAGAUUCACCAUGACCAUCAGAAAUGUGCUGAUGAGAGGCACCAUCAACACUCAAAAGAUAUUAUUCUACACUUACUUUUAAAAUGUAUACUUGGGAGCCGGUCCCAGCACCCGGAAGGAAGCUACCCACCUCCAUCCCAGGCUCCUAGGGCAGUGAAGCUCGGCCGGUCCCAGCACCUGGAAGGAAGUUCCCCUGCUACCAUCCCAGGCUCCUAGGGCCAAGAAGGUGACCCAGUCCCAGCAGCCAGAAGAAAGCCCCCUGGCUGCCAUCCCAAGCUCCUAGGGCACAGAAGGUGAGCCGCAUGGGCACCAGAAGCACCCCCCCCCCGUGGAAAUGAGAAGACACAUAAACAAGCCUCAAAAACA
rnacentral:lncRNA from 1 species